rnacentral:misc_RNA from 1 species
UCUCCGUUGGUGAACCAGCGGAGGGAUCAUUACCGAGUUUACAACUCCCAAACCCCUGUGAACACACCAUUUGUUGCCUCGGCGGUGCCUGCUUCGGCAGCCCGCCAGAGGACCCAAACCCUUGAUUUUAUACAGUAUCUUCUGAGUAAAUGAUUAAAUAAAUCAAAACUUUCAACAACGGAUCUCUUGGUUCUG